GAGGCCGUUAAGACUAUACUUUCAGGGAUCAUUUCUAUAGUGUGUUACUAGAGAAGUUUCUCUGAACGUGUAGAGCACCGAAAACCACGAGGAAGAGAGGUAGCGUUUUCUCCUGAACGUGAAGCCGGCUUUCUGGCGUUGCUUGGCUGCAACUGCCGUCAGCCAUUGAUGAUCGUUCUUCUCUCCGUAUUGGGGAGUGAGAGGGAGAGAACGCGGUCUGAGUGGUGUGCGAGGAGGCCAUUAAGACUAUACUUUCAGGGAUCAUUUCUAUAGUGUGUUACUAGAGAAGUUUCUCUGAACGUGUAGAGCACCGAAAACCCCGAGGAAGAGAGGUAGCGUUUUCUCCUGAGCGUGAAGCCGGCUUUCUGGCGUUGCUUGGCUGCAACUGCCGUCAGCCAUUGAUGAUCGUUCUUCUCUCCGUAUUGGGGAGUGAGAGGGAGAGAACGCGGUCUGAGUGGUUUUUCCUUCUUGAUGGCUCAAUGACAGAGACUAGCUCGUAAACUCCGGGGCGUUUCUGGGCUGUUCGCUCCUGCUUGGCAGUGUAGCGAGAAAGGUUUUCGCCUCCUGUUUCAGCGGUGACGGCUCUUGGGUUUUCUCGGGGUGGCUUUUUAAUUUUAGUCUUGGCGCGAGGCGGGGGAUGCUGUGUGGCACCUCCUAUUGUCUCUUUUUGCGUUUUCUCCCAUUCUCGCUCCCUCUUUUGUCGCCGUUUCCCGCCCGCCACUCCCACCCCCAGACGGGGUCUCCGGGUCUCUUGUUCUGUCUGCCGCCCCGGCUGGAGUGCAGUGGCGCGAUCUCGGCUCCUAGCAACAUCUGCCUCCCGGGCUCAAGCGAGUCUCCCGCCUAAGCCCUCCCGAGUAGCCGGGGCUUAAAGGCGCACACGCCACUCCAGGCUUUUUUUUUUUUUUUUUUUGGCAGAAACGGGGUGUCAGCAUGUUAGCCAGGCUGGUCUCCAACGCGUGAUCUCAGGUGAUCCGCCGGCCUCGGCCUCCCGAAGUUCUGGGAUUACAGGCGUGAGCCACUGCACCCGGCCCUUCUAUUUUUUUAAAUAGCGACGGGGUUUCACCAUGUUGGCCAGGCUGCUCCUGAACACCUGAGUUCAGGUGAUCCGCCCGCCUCGGCCUCCCGAAGUUCUGCGAUUACAGGCGUGCCACCCGCACCCGGCCCUAAAAGUACUUUUUAUAGAGAUGGGGUCUCACUCUGUUGCCCAGACUGGUCUCAAACUGCUUAUCUCAAGUGACUGACUGUCUGCCUCAGCUGCCCAAGUAGCAGGGAUUACAGACACAAGCCACAGCCGCUGGCUCUAUUCAGGAACAUCUUAGUUCCAAGUUUUGGCAAUUAUGGAUAAAGCUGCUAUAAACAGGUGUGCAGGUUUUUGUGUGGACAUUUUCAACUCAUUUGGGUAGACACCAAGAGGCACGAGUUCUGAUCAUACCGAAAGUGUUUAGUUUCAGAAGAAGCUGCUUUUCUUGGGCUCCAUAACAAAAUACACAGACUUUGUGGCUUAAAUAACACAAAUUUAUUUCUUACAGUUCUCAGUCGGGCGCGGUGGCUCACUCCUGUAAUCCCAGAACUUCGGGAGGCCGAGGCGGGCGGAUCACCUGAACUCAGGUGUUCAGGAGCAGCCUGGCCAACAUGGUGAAACCCCGUCGCUAUUUAAAAAAAUAGAAGGGCCGGGUGCAGUGGCUCACGCCUGUAAUCCCAGAACUUCGGGAGGCCGAGGCGGGCGGAUCACCUGAGAUCACGCGUUGGAGACCAGCCUGGCUAACAUGCUGACACCCCGUUUCUGCCAAAAAAAAAAAAA
rnacentral:lncRNA from 1 species